rnacentral:rRNA from 1 species
GGCAGCCUGAUGCAGCCAUGCCGCGUGUAUGAAGAAGGCCUUCGGGUUGUAAAGUACUUUCAGCGAGGAGGAAGGCGUUGUGGUUAAUAACUGCAGCGAUUGACGUUACUCGCAGAAGAAGCACCGGCUAACUCCGUGCCAGCAGCCGCGGUAAUU